rnacentral:rRNA from 1 species
AAUGCUUAGGAAUCUGCCUAUUAGUGGGGGACAACAUUCCGAAAGGAAUGCUAAUACCGCAUACGCCCUACGGGGGAAAGCAGGGGAUCUUCGGACCUUGCGCUAAUAGAUGAGCCUAAGUCAGAUUAGCUAGUUGGUGGGGUAAAGGCCUACCAAGGCGACGAUCUGUAGCGGGUCUGAGAGGAUGAUCCGCCACACUGGGACUGAGACACGGCCCAGACUCCUACGGGAGGCAGCAGUGGGGAAUAUUGGACAAUGGGCGAAAGCCUGAUCCAGCCAUGCCGCGUGUGUGAAGAAGGCCUUUUGGUUGUAAAGCACUUUAAGCGAGGAGGAGGCCACCGAGAUUAAUACUCUUGGAUAGUGGACGUUACUCGCAGAAUAAGCACCGGCUAACUCUGUGCCAGCAGCCGCGGUAAUACAGAGGGUGCGAGCGUUAAUCGGAUUUACUGGGCGUAAAGCGUGCGUAGGCGGCUUUUUAAGUCGGAUGUGAAAUCCCUGAGCUUAACUUAGGAAUUGCAUUCGAUACUGGGAAGCUAGAGUAUGGGAGAGGAUGGUAGAAUUCCAGGUGUAGCGGUGAAAUGCGUAGAGAUCUGGAGG